AAACUGGUGCUAAUACUGGAUAUGUGCUCCUGCUGCAUGGUGGGGGUUGGAAAGCUCCGGCGGUUGUGGAUGGACUCGCGGCCUAUCAGCUUGUUGGUGGGGUAGUGGCCUACCAAGGCGGCGACGGGUAGCCGGCCUGAGAGGGUGACCGGCCACAUUGGGACUGAGAUACGGCCCAGACUCCUACGGGAGGCAGCAGUGGGGAAUAUUGCACAAUGGGCGCAAGCCUGAUGCAGCAACGCCGCGUGCGGGAUGACGGCCUUCGGGUUGUAAACCGCUUUCAGCAGGGACGAAGCUUUUUGUGACGGUACCUGCAGAAGAAGCACCGGCUAACUACGUGCCAGCAGCCGCGGUGAUACGUAGGGUGCGAGCGUUGUCCGGAUUUAUUGGGCGUAAAGGGCUCGUAGGCGGUUGAUCGCGUCGGAAGUGGAAACUUGAUGCUUAACGUUGAGCGUGCUUUCGAUACGGGUUGACUUGAGGAAGGUAGGGGAGAAUGGAAUUCCUGGU
rnacentral:rRNA from 1 species